UUUCCGCUUUGCUCAAAGCCGUCUCUCCUGAGAAGCCCUAAAUCUGCGACAAGUCCCGCUUUUCAGGGGUGGUUCUCUUCACUGGUCCUGUUCGAUCCUCUCAGCUCAGCAUGAUAACACAAUGGCUUCUCUGGCAACAGCCAAAGCUGCGACUCAAAUGCAUCAGUCAUGACAGUUGCAUCAAAUUGGGG